UAAGGAGAGACAAACAAGUAGAAAGAGAAACAGGAGGGGAUGAGAGUCAACUGAGAACUUUGCUUAGUGUGCUGGAAUAGUUUGCUUUCUCCCUGUAUCCUGCUCCAGGUUGUAAUGAGACCUGUGAAGUGAGUUAAAGUGCAUUGACAAUUUCCUUGUGAACUCUCCAUUCCUAGAUUAUGGGAGAGGUUACAGAUUCCAGGCCUAGUUGGUAGGGAUGUCAGAUGCUCAAAACCAUUGUUCAAGAAGGGACUAUUUUUGAAAUCUACUGAACAACACUGGCUUCUGUCUGCAUUAGACAAAUAACAAGUUUGAUGAGUGCUUGUGGAUUGAAUUGAAACUCUAGUCGAAGGAAAAGACUUCAGUAGAUUCUCACGAGGUCCACUGACUUUGAUGCCUCUGUGCUGAGUCUUGGCUGUGAAGUGACUAAAAAUGUGGGAACAGAUUCAGCUUGUACAAACUCAGGAUGCAGAUCGUCAUUUUGCAGUAUCUCAACCUGGAAAAGCUUCUUCUUCUCAGUGCAUGGUUCAUAAAUAAAGCAUUUCAUUCUCUGAAAGAGCGUCUUCAUACAAGGAAAAGGACAAAAUUCAAAUGUUGAAUUCUCUGGUUGCUGCCUGAAACAGCAAAAAUAGGAAUUUUUGGUAUAUAAUAUACUGGAAUGGUUUUUAAGACUGGGCAUCAGAUUUUACAUCAUAGAAUGAGAGGGUACCAUAUCAUGUAUUUAAUCCUAUGUUGUCAAAUAACAGACCCACUCAGAGUAGAGCUGGUUAUUCUUUUUGAGAUACACUUAGUGAUGGAAAGGACACAUCUUGCACUUUGAGGAUCCCUCUGUUCAUGGUAGUUACACUUAGCUAUAUUCUAGAGGGCAUUGCCUGUUUUGCACAGGUGUUUCAGACUCAGGGUUGACUACUUCCCAUACAGUGCAUACCCUAAAUCUUAUGAAAAAUUAUUCCCAUGCUUUUGCAGACAUUGAUACACAGACAAGCAUCUUCAAAUGUAUUAAAUCUUAGUGCAAUGUGAAACAA